UACGGAGGAUCCGAGCGUUAUCCGGAUUUAUUGGGUUUAAAGGGUGCGUAGGUGGUUUCUUAAGUCAGAGGUGAAAGGCUACGGCUCAACCGUAGUAAGCCUUUGAAACUGGGAAACUUGAGUGCAGGAGAGGAGAGUGGAAUUCCUAGUGUAGCGGUGAAAUGCGUAGAUAUUAGGAGGAACACCAGUUGCGAAGGCGGCUCUCUGGACUGUAACUGACACUGAGGCACGAAAGCGUGGGGAGCAAACAGGAUUAGAUACCCGCGUAGUCCCUGAGCGGG
rnacentral:rRNA from 1 species